AUUUUAUUGAAUUUUGCUACCAUGUGGCUAAUGGAGUUUUGUCUCUGUCCUUGGAGAUAAUUGGAUUACUUCCCAAUUAUCUCCAGGAUAGAAGACUCUGUGGAACUGAUUUUGGGCAGAAAAAACAUGCUUCAUUUGGUCAAAUAGGACUUUCCCUUAACUUUUUAACCCCUGAACCGAUUGCCCUGAUUUUUGAAUAUGUGUAUAUUUCAAGCAUGCGGAUUCUGAAUAUGUAAUUUUUAUGAAGAUUGGACGUAUAUUUUUAAAGUUAUAGCACAUGUAUAAAAACUGUAUUUUUCCUGCUUGUGAUAAUUAUGUUAACCCAUUGUGUACCAUAAUUAUAUCACAGGCAGAGGGGAGGAUUUUGUGUAUAAUUGCUGGGAGU